rnacentral:rRNA from 1 species
UACGGGGGGGGCAAGCGUUGUUCGGAAUUACUGGGCGUAAAGGGCUCGUAGGCGGCCAACUAAGUCAGACGUGAAAUCCCUCGGCUUAACCGGGGAACUGCAUCUGAUACUGGAUGGCUUGAGUUCGGGAGAGGGAUGCGGAAUUCCAGGUGUAGCGGUGAAAUGCGUAGAUAUCUGGAGGAACACCUGUGGCGAAAGCGGCUCACUGGACCAUUACUGACGCUGAGGCACGAAAGCUAGGGGAGCAAACAGG